rnacentral:rRNA from 1 species
UGGGGAAUAUUGCACAAUGGACGAAAGUCUGAUGCAGCAACGCCGCGUGGAGGAUGACACAUUUCGGUGCGUAAACUCCUUUUAUAUGGGAAGAUAAUGACGGUACCAUAAGAAUAAGCCCCGGCCAACUACGUGCCAGCAGCCGCGGUAAACGUAGGGGGCAAGCGUUGCUCGGAAUCACUGGGUUUAAAGGGCUCGCAGGCGGGCAUAUAAGUCGUGGGUUAAAUCUCCGAGCUCAACUCGGAUACGCCUGCGAUACUGUAUGCCUCGAGAGAGAGAUAGGAAACGGGAAUUCCCGGUGUAACGGUGGAAUGUGUAGAUAUCGGGAGGAACACCAAUAGCGAAGGCAAGUUUCUGGCUCUCUUCUGACGCUCAUGAGCGAAAGCGUGGGUAGCAAACA